CAACAUAUUAUUUUGACUUUAUUGAUGAACCAUUCCAUUUGAGCUCUUUGUUAUUUCAAAACCUAAUGAACCAUUUAUUCGCAGAUUUUUCGGACGAUUCUGCUGUGCUGCGUUCCUGCUCCGCCUGUAUAUUGCUCCGCCCGUAUUUUAUAGUGUUGCGUUCCUGUUGCGCCUUUGCAUUAGUGUGUGCGUUGUGAUUUAGACACGUUGAAAUUUUUUGUAUGCUUCUGCUGUGCUGCGUUCCUGCUCCACCCGUGUAUUAGAUUGCUGCGUUCCUGUUAACAUACAUAUCGUCGCUUAAAGUACAAAACCGCGUAAAAUUUGCUGCUAAAAAUUGGAUUCGCUCACACACGUUUUUGGAUCAAUCCUUAUCUAUUCUUCCUGAAAUAUACUAGCCAAAAAUGCGAUUGCUUUUUACAAAAA